AAUGCCAGUUUUUUCUUUCUAAAUAUUUUGAAAAACUUUAUUAAAAGUUUUAUAUUUGGUUUGAUAUUUUUGAACUGUCUUUUUUUUUUUGCUCACUGUUGAAUAUAUGUAAAUUUUAUUUGAGUUUAUCAGCAUCUGUCUAUAAAUAAUUUUGUUUUUGUUUCAGAUACUAUGAAGAAGAUGUUUACAGCAAAGACCCCGAAAAUGGAGCCAUUGACGAAGACCAGGACAAGAAAAUUAAAGGAAAGUAUAUUUAAUUUUAGUCUAAUUAUAAUUUUAGUUCUAUUACAGUAGCAGGCCUUACCAAGUUCCAGUCAGUCACAGAACAUGGAUUUUUUCAUUGAAGAUUGGAAAUGAGAAGCAUAUACUAUGAAGAAGAUGUUUACAGCAAAGACCCCGAAAACGGAGCCAUUGACGAAGACCAGGACAAGAAAAUUAAAGGAAAGUAUAUUUAAUUUUAGUCUAAUUAUAAUUUUAGUUCUAUUACAGUAGCAGGCCUUACCAAGUUCCAGUCAGUCACAGAACAUGGAUUUUUUCAUUGAAGAUUGGAAAUGAGAAGCAUAUACUAUGAAGAAGAUGUUUACAGCAAAGACCCCGAAAACGGAGCCAUUGACGAAGACCAGGACAAGAAAAUUAAAGGAAAGUAUAUUUAAUUUUAGUCUAAUUAUAAUUUUAGUUCUAUUACAGUAGCAGGCCUUACCAAGUUCCAGUCAGUCACAGAACAUGGAUUUUUUCAUUGAAGAUUGGAAAUGAGAAG